rnacentral:rRNA from 1 species
CCUACGGGAGGCAGCAGUGGGGAAUAUUGGGCAAUGGACGCAAGUCUGACCCAGCAACGCCGCGUGAAGGAAGAAGGCUUUCGGGUUGUAAACUUCUUUUAAGGGGGAAGAGCAGAAGACGGUACCCCUUGAAUAAGCCACGGCUAACUACGUGCCAGCAGCCGCGGUAAUACGUAGGUGGCAAGCGUUGUCCGGAUUUACUGGGUGUAAAGGGCGUGCAGCCGGAGAGACAAGUCAGAUGUGAAAUCCACGGGCUCAACCCGUGAACUGCAUUUGAAACUGUUUCCCUUGAGUGUCGGAGAGGUAAUCGGAAUUCCUAGUGUAGCGGUGACAUGCGUAGAUAUUAGGAGGAACACCAGUGGCGAAGGCGGGUUGCUAGACUGUAACUGACACUGAGGCACGAAAGCGUGGGGAGCAAACAGGAUUAGAUACCCGGGUAGUC